rnacentral:rRNA from 1 species
AGAUCGGGAUAACACCUGGAAACAGAUGCUAAUACCGGAUAACAACAGAUGAUGCCUAUCAACUGUUUAAAAGAUGGUUCUGCUAUCACUCUUGGAUGGACCUGCGGUGCAUUAGCUAGUUGGUAGGGUAACGGCCUACCAAGGCGAUGAUGCAUAGCCGAGUUGAGAGAUUGAUCGGCCACAUUGGGACUGAGACACGGCCCAAACUCCUACGGGAGGCAGCAGGC